rnacentral:rRNA from 1 species
GACGAAUGCUGGCGGCGUGCUUAACACAUGCAAGUCGAACGAGAGGACAAGAGAAGCUUGCUUCUUUUGGAAUCGAGUGGCAAACGGGUGAGUAACACGUAAACAACCUGCCUUCAGGAUGGGGACAACAGACGGAAAUGACUGCUAAUACCGCAUAAGACCACAGCACCGCAUGGUGCAGGGGUAAAAACUCCGGUGGUACAGGAUGGACCCGCGUCUGAUUAGCUGGUUGGUGAGGUAACGGCUCACCAAGGCGACGAUCAGUAGCCGGCUUGAGAGAGUGAACGGCCACAUUGGGACUGAGACACGGCCCAGACUCCUACGGGAGGCAGCAGUGGGGAAUAUUGGGCAAUGGGCGCAAGCCUGACCCAGCAACGCCGCGUGAAGGAAGAAGGCUUUCGGGUUGUAAACUUCUUUUGUCAGGGACGAGCAGAAGACGGUACCUGACGAAUAAGCCACGGCUAACUACGUG